rnacentral:rRNA from 1 species
GACAGAGGUCCCGAGCGUUAGGCGGAAUCACUGGGCUUAAAGCGUGUGUAGGCGGAUGCCUAAGUACCUUGUGAAAUCCCACGGCUUAACCGUGGAACUGCUCGGUAUACUGGGUGUCUUGAGCCACUUAGGGGCUACCGGAACAAAUGGUGGAGCGGUGAAAUGCGUAGAUAUCAUUUGGAACGCCAAUGGUGAAAACAGGUAGCUGGGAGUGUGCUGACGCUGAGGCACGAAAGCCAGGGGAGCAAACGGG